UACGUAGGGUGCGAGCGUUUAAUCGGAAUUACUGGGCGUAAAGCGUGCGCAGGCGGUGAGCUGUGUCCGAUGUGAAAGCCCCGGGCUUAACCUGGGAAUGGCAUUGGAAACUGGCUCGCUGGAGUGUGGCAGAGGGGGGUGGAAUUCCGGCGUGUAGCAGUGAAAUGCGUAGAGAUGCGGAGGAACACCGAUGGCGAAGGCAGCCCCCUGGGCUAACACUGACGCUCAGGCACGAAAGCGUGGGGAGCAAACAGG
rnacentral:rRNA from 1 species